UGGGCGUGGUCAAUGUUCGGACAACGUGAUGAAAUGAUUGGUCGAUCCCUUUUCAUAUCCAAACAUCCCUGCUAACACACGACGUAACAGUUACGUAACGUACUGGUAAUUUUUGGUAAUUCCAUGACUUACCAAUUGACAACGUAACUACGACGUCGCAUGCCCGUAAUUUUAUUACCAUCACAUUACCAACUCACAACGUCGUCAGUACGUCCUUCCAACGUGACCAGAUAACCAAGAACGUCCCAGAUAGGUCCUCUAUUGGUAAUAUAUUGGUAACUUCAUGACUUACUGGCAACGUAACUACAACGUCGUAUGCACGUAAUAUCAUUACCAUAUAUUUUUUUUUACGUUCUUUAUAUGCUCUCUGAGUAUAGAGCCAUUUAAAAAGUGUAAUUAAACUUCAGACUCAAGCUUAAACGUUCCUUAAAGAUAAAAUAGGUUUCUUUUCACCAAGUCAGAAUAUGGACAUGCUUUUAAUAUAUAGUGACGUGACAUACAGGCGCGCGCUUCCGCAACUGACGCACCGCGCGCACAGUAUUGACAAGAAAAGAGUUGUGAAACUUUCUAUCUCGUAAGGAGUUAUGAACGUGAAAUAAUGACACAGACUGGCUACACCAUCUCAUCUGCAGCAGAGAUUGUUGUAUCAGAAGGACAGCGCGUUUGUUUGACGCACUUUUCACUUCAACUGUGUCUGACAGGAGAAUUAGCUUUCUGAGCCUUCUAGCCGUUGAGUUACCAUGGCAACCGCGUACACAUCAGCUGCUGGAGAGGAGAGGAGAGGACUCGUCUGACAUUUUCUCUGUUUCUCGUCAGUUAUACCAAAGAAAAGACCAACAACUGGGACAGAUUGGUUAAGUAACACGUUAAUAUUAUCCACAGUCUACUUUAAGUACUUUUUCUUAAUAUUUAUACCUCUGCGAUUAUGGUAUUUUUCCUGAAAUGUCUGCUAUCAAGUAUUACGCUAGCAUAGAAACAUAAUUAACGUUAUAGCAUAUUAGAUUUGAGCCCUUAUUAAUGAAAGUUUGGCCUUUUAAUUACAUCUUAUGCCUAAAGGAUCGGUUUUGAUCAUUUUGUUAAUGUUUUUGAUGGUAAUUUGUCAAUAGAUAAAUGAAAUAAAGUUAAGCUAAUUAAUUUAACCUAAAAAUCUGCAUUGUAGAGUCUAUCAGUGACGUCACUCGUGGUCUAAAAUGGGCUGAAACUAUUUCAAACCACUGUUUCAAGCUUGUUCUGAUUUAUCAUUGUUAACAAAUAUUGAUAAAAAAAAUUGUACAGUGAUUUCAGGAGUGUCUUAAAAACCCUCUAAAACAGAGGGGAAUUUCCAAGAAAAUGACUAAUGGGAGCUGCUGACAGAGAUAGAAAACACAGUUUGUUUAUUUCUAAUAAGGAGCUGGAGGCCAUGAAGAAACAGAUCCAUGAUAUUGUGGAGAAGCAGGCCCAGCUGAGCGAGUGGAGAGCUGUGCUGGAAAUAUUCAGGGGUUGAUGCUCAUAAGUCCAGGGUAAGUAUACAGCUAACCCUACUACCACCUCUACUCUGUGUGGUUCUCUGCAAAGGCCCGGUGUACCCAGGAUGCGAUCUUCCCAGAUGUCCUUCACCCUAUUUCAUAGUGUAAGACAUGAUCCAGGCCCUGGGCGACGACCUCUCUCCAUCCGCCGCCUCCGGUCUUCAGGAUCUCCACCAGAACCCGAUUCGCUCCACUUCGCGAGACAGAACAAAACGCUGUGAUCAUCAGAGACUCCAUCGUCCGGCACGUUUGCGCUAUGUUAGCUGAAGGUAAAGUCCACACUGACUACUUCCCUGGUGCUCAUGUUCUUGAUAUUUCUGCACAGAUUCCCGUGACCCUGAAGAGUGAGGUGGGCAUCAGAGCGGACGGAGACACUGAAGAGGGACUUCAGGAGCCUGAUCAAGACGGUGCACAGCAUAUCGCCUGCAUGAUGAUCAUCGUGUCAGGACCACUUCCCACGUAUAGAUGAGGACAUGAAAGGCUUUUUAGAUCUCCUGUUGGACAACAUCUCCAGGACACUUCGCUCCAUAUGACUAGUAAGCCAAUUCUCAAAUAACCGUUAUGAUGAAUUUUGUUCUACACGCUCAAAUAGAAGUACUACUACAAUAAAGAUUGUGUUUGUUCCAGUGUUAAUUUUGACAGGUAUUUUUGAUUUAGCAUUAGUCUAAACUCCACCAAACUACUGUUAUAAGCAUGAGCCCUGUCAGACUGGUCGUGGCGGAGGUGUUGCAACAAUAUAUAGUGAUAUUCUCAAUGUUACCCAGAAAACAGGAUACAGGUUUAACUCUUUCGAAAUACUUCUGCUUAAUUUUAGACUGUCAGACAUGCAAAAGAAAUCUAAUGUAUCUCUUGCUCUGGCUACUAGGGGUGUGAUGAGACACUUAUCCCACAAGAUGAGACGAGACACGAGAAUGGGUUCAUGAGAGCGAGACGAUAUAUAUAUAUAUUUUUUUUUAAGAAAUCCUCAAUGAUAAAAUAAAUAUUUCAUUUUUCUCUACUCCUUUUUCGUAUGACAUACAUUUUCACAUCAAUUUAUUAAACAUAAAAAAAAAAAAAACAUAUUUAGGGCCCUAAUUUUUUCCCCAGCAUAUUAUUUUUUAUUAUUAUUGUUAACAAAUUCUGUAUUUUAGCAUGUCUAACUAUUUGAAUGCAUAACACAACUUAAUUUAUUCAUUUUAUUUUUUCUUAAAGGUAGCCUUACUGACAUAGAUAUAAUACCUCAAAGUGUAAUUACUGACCACUUCCUUGUAUCGUGCAUGCUGCAUAUUAGUGAUAUUAACUAUAUUUCCAAAAUGAGCAUUAUGAGUUUAAGAGCCUUACAUUACAUUUAUAACAAUCAUUGUUAAUGUUUGAAUUGUAUUUCAGGGCAGUUUGUGAAAAGAGACAAUCAAUAGAAGUCAGUUCCAGAUCCACCCUCCACACCAGACCUCUCUCUCACGAGGAUUGCUGUCUACUAGCAUAUUGUGUUCUUCAGCUCUUCAGACUUCGGUGGAUGCAGAUAUUACUCAGGGACAUGAACACUAGAAUAUUGCAAGAAUAGAGAAAGUAAGAAUUACUUAAGAUUUUAGAAUUUAAUGUUAAUUGCUUAAACAUAUACAGUAUUGUUCAAAAUAAUAGCAGUACAAUGUGACUAACCAGAAUAAUCAAGGUUUUUAGUAUAUUUUUUUAUUGCUACGUGGCAAACAAGUUACCAGUAGGUUCAGUAGAUUGUCAGAAAACAAACAAGACCCAGCAUUCAUGAUAUGCACGCUCUUAAGGCUGUGCAAUUGGGCAAUUAGUUGAAAGGGGUGUGUUCAAAAAAAUAGCAGUGUCUACCUUUGACUGUACAAACUCAAAACUAUUUUGUACAAACAUUUUUUUUUUCUGGGAUUUAGCAAUCCUGUGAAUCACUAAACUAAUAUUUAGUUGUAUGACCACAGUUUUUUAAAACUGCUUGACAUCUGUGUGGCAUGGAGUCAACCAACUUGUGGCACCUCUCAGCUGUUAUUCCACUCCAUGAUUCUUUAACAACAUUCCACAAUUCAUUCACAUUUCUUGGUUUUGCUUCAGAAACAGCAUUUUUUAUAUCACCCCACGAGUUCUCAAUUGGAUUAAGGUCUGGAGAUUGGGCUGGCCACUCCAUAACAUUAAUGUUGUUGGUUUGGAACCAAGACUUUGCCCGUUUACUAGUGUGUUUUGGGUCAUUGUCUUGUUGAAACAACCAUUUCAAGGGCAUGUCCUCUUCAGCAUAGGGCAACAUGACCUCUUCAAGUAUUUUAACAUAUGCAAACUGAUCCAUGAUCCCUGGUAUGCGAUAAAUAGGCCCAACACCAUAGUAGGAGAAACAUGCCCAUAUCAUGAUGCUUGCACCUCCAUGCUUCACUGUCUUCACUGUGUACUGUGGCUUGAAUUCAGAGUUUGGGGGUCGUCUCACAAACUGCCUGUGGCCCUUGGACCCAAAAAGAACAAUUUUACUCUCAUCAGUCCACAAAAUGUUCCUCCAUUUCUCUUUAGGCCAGUUGAUGUGUUCUUUGGCAAAUUGUAACCUCUUCUGCACAUGCCUUUUUUUUAACAGAGGGACUUUGCGGGGGAUUCUUGAAAAUAGAUUAGCUUCACACAGACGUCUUCUAACUGUCACAGUACUUACAGGUAACUCCAGACUGUCUUUGAUCAUCCUGGAGGUGAUCAUUGGCUGAGCCUUUGCCAUUCUGGUUAUUCUUCUAUCCAUUUUGAUGGUUGUCUUCCGUUUUCUUCCACGUCUCUCUGGUUUUGCUCUCCAUUUUAAGGCAUUGGAGAUCAUUUUAGCUGAACAGCCUAUCAUUUUUUGCACCUCUUUAUAGGUUUUCCCCUCUCUAAUCAACUUUUUAAUCAAAGUACGCUGUUCUUCUGAACAAUGUCUUGAACGACCCAUUUUCCUCAGCUUUCAAAUGCAUGUUCAACAAGUGUUGGCUUCAUCCUUAAAUAGGGGCCACCUGAUUCACACCUGUUUCUUCACAAAAUUGAUGACCUCAGUGAUUGAAUGCCACACUGCUAUUUUUUUGAACACACCCCUUUCAACUAAUUCAACUAAUUGCCCAAUUGCACAGCCUUAAGAGCGUGCAUAUCAUGAAUGCUGGGUCUCGUUUGUUUUCUGAGAAUCUACUGAACCUACUGCUAACUUGUUUGCCACGUAGCAAUAAAAAAAUAUACGAAAAACCUUGAUUAUUCUGGUUAGUCACAUUGUACUGCUAUUAUUUUGAACAAUACUGUAUAUAUUUAGAUAUAUUUUUGUGGCAGUGUGAACUGGCCAUAAUGCUGUAUGAUAGGUGUGAGAUUCAUUAAACUUGAUUUGCUAUAAUACAUCUGUUCAUAAGCUAUAGCAUAUUAUUUUCAAUGAAUUAUUUGUAGUGGUUUGGUUAAGGGUGUGAUUAGCUGAAGAUUAUUGUGGGAUCUUGUGAUUAGUUGAUGAAUGUGUGCAUUGUUAAUGAUAAUAUUUAAAUGCAAUGUACUGAGUGCCUACUAAGACUUGCAUGUUGUGCAUAAUGUUUUGACCCUGGAUGCUUACAGAAGGGUAUAGAUAUUUCAAUAUAUGGAAAUGUAUUUAUUAUUAAUAUAUCUCAAUCUAUGUGCUUCUGUAUGGGCUGAAUGCUUUCAUUCAUAUUUCGCUGUAUAUCCUGUUUUUAUUAAUAAUCUGGGUGUAUUACUGUUCAUAUUUGCUUGUUAAUAAAUUAACUGAAUU